UUGGAAAAGUUGGACGCAAUCUGCGCAGCGUAAGCGCAGAAAAGUAAUUAUUUUUAAUUUGUGCAUUAAAUAAGUAUUUUAAAAUAAAAAUACAUCUACAGAGCGCACACACAAGCACAGGCUAGAUACAGAAAAUUCUAUUGAUUUGUACGCUCGUCCAAGAUGGCGGACGACGAGCAAUUCAGUUUGUGUUGGAACAAUUUCAACACAAAUCUGUCCGCUGGCUUUCACGAGUCACUAUGUCGUGGAGACCUGGUAGACGUAUCCCUGGCAGCGGAGGGCCAGAUUGUGAAGGCGCAUCGCUUGGUGCUCUCGGUCUGCUCGCCCUUCUUCCGCAAAAUGUUUACGCAGAUGCCAACGAAUACCCACGCCUUUGUGUUUUUAAAUAACGUUAGCCAUUCGGCACUGAAGGACCUGAUCCAGUUCAUGUAUUGUGGCGAGGUGAACGUCAAACAGGACGCAUUACCAGCUUUCAUAAGCACAGCGGAGUCGCUACAAAUCAAGGGGCUGACAGAUAAUGAUCCACCACCACAGCCGCCACAAGAGCCCACACCCCCACCCCCACCAGCAGCACCACAGGUACAACAACAACAACAACAGCAGCAACAACUCCCAGCCCAACGUGUACAGCGCCAACAGCAGCCGCGUGCAACCGCUCGCUACAAGAUUGAAACCGUUGACGAUGGUCUCGAUGAUAAGGGCACCACACAAAUUGUCAUACAGACAUCAGCCUCGCCACAAGCGACCAUCGUACAACAGCAGCAGCAACAUAUACAAACACAACAGCAGCAGUUGCAAACGGCGACAACAACAACCGCCACGCUGGUGUCGACAAACAAGCGUAGCGCUCAACGUGGCAGCCAGAGUAGCAGUGGUGCCGUCAAGCGCUCAAAGACAACAUCAGCGAGCGCCGCCAACGCCAGCAACGUAAUUGACCCCCUCGAAUCGACAACGGAAACUGGAACAACAACGGCAACAUCUACUCAACAACAGCAACAACAACAUGUGCCACAACAGAUAACCGUGCAGACGACUGUGGUGCAGAGCAGCGACACGAAAGUGCAACAGGUGCGUCAGCAGCAGGCUGCACAAGAGGAAGCUGAAUACAUUGAUCUCCCCAUGGGUAUGCCAACGAAAUCGGAACCAGACUACAGCGAAGAGCACGCCGAUGUUGCCGGCGAUGGCGAUACGUCCUAUGUCGAGGAUGAUGCCUAUGGCGAGAUACGCUAUGAUGAAAGCUACUUUACCGAAAAUGAAGACGCCGGUGCUCAGCCAGCAACAAAUACAAGCGCCAGCGUUGCAGCCACCACAUCGAAGGCGGUGGUCAAACAACAGUCGCAGCCGCAGAGCUACAACGAUUCAUCGUUUGUCGACACCGGCGGGGAUCAAGGCAGCACAGAGGCUCAAGUGCACAUCCAGGUGAUCAGUACACAGCGGCGUGCUUCGGCACCGGCGCUGCUGAAGCGUGUGCGUCUGGCCAAGACCAUGGAGGAUAUACAGUAUAUUAAAACGGCGGCGGGCAAUUGUGUGUUGCACUGUGGCGAGCAUCGGUAUUUACGGAACGCCUCCUACAAGGACAAGGUCUACUGGAAGUGCAGCAAGUGGCGCAAACAAUGUCGCGCCAGAAUCAUCACAAAUGCCACGGACAAUGGACAGGCGCGCUACGCCAUCAGCGGUGUACACAAUCAUACGUAGUUCCAUCUGUCUACCGAGCAUGAUAUUAGCACAAUGAGGCAACCUAACCCAACUGUAGAUUAGUUACUAAUUAAAUAAAUAGUUAAAAUUUGGCAUUCAUUUGAUAUUGACUCGGCUGUCGCAACUAACGGUUUUAUUUACAA
rnacentral:misc_RNA from 1 species